UACGUAGGGGGCAAGCGUUGUCCGGAUUUAUUGGGCGUAAAGAGCGUGUAGGCGGCCCGGCAGGUCUGCUGUGAAAACUCGAGGCUCAACCUCGAGACGUCGGCGGAAACCAUCUGGCUAGAGUCCGGAAGAGGAGAGUGGAAUUCCUGGUGUAGCGGUGAAAUGCGCAGAUAUCAGGAAGAACACCCGUGGCGAAGGCGGCUCUCUGGGACGGUACUGACGCUGAGACGCGAAAGCGUGGGGAGCGAACAGG
rnacentral:rRNA from 1 species